rnacentral:rRNA from 1 species
GAUGAACGCUGGCGGCGUGCCUAAUACAUGCAAGUCGAGCGAACGGACGAGAAGCUUGCUUCUCUGAUGUUAGCGGCGGACGGGGGAGUAACACGUGGAUAACCUACCUAUAAGACUGGGAUAACUUCGGGAAACCGGAGCGAAUACCGGAUGAUAUUUUGAACCGCAUGGUUCAAAAGUGAAAGACGGUCUUGCUAUCACUAAUAGAUGGAUCCGCGCUUGAUUAGGUAGUUGGUAAGGUAACGGCUUACCAAGGCAACGAUGCAUAGCCGAACUGAGAGGGUGCUCGGCCACACUGGAACUGAGACACGGUCCAGACUCCUACGGGAGGCAGCCGUAGGGAAUCUUCCGCAAUGGGCGAAAGCCUGACGGAGCAACGCCGCGUGAGUGAUGAAGGUCUUCGGAUCGUAAAACUCUGUUAUUAGGGAAGAACAUAUGUGUAAGUAACUGUGCACAUCUUGACGGUACCUAAUCAGAAAGCCACGGCUAACUACGUG